GUGGGGAAUAUUGGGCAAUGGGCGCAAGCCUGACCCAGCAACGCCGCGUGAAGGAAGAAGGCUUUCGGGUUGUAAACUUCUUUUCUCAGGGACGAAGAAAGUGACGGUACCUGAGGAAUAAGCCACGGCUAACUACGUGCCAGCAGCCGCGGUAAUACGUAGGUGGCAAGCGUUAUCCGGAUUUAUUGGGUGUAAAGGGCGUGUAGGCGGGAGCGCAAGUCAGAUGUGAAAACUCAGGGCUCAACCCUGAGCCUGCAUUUGAAACUGUGUUUCUUGAGUGCUGGAGAGGCAAUCGGAAUUCCGUGUGUAGCGGUGAAAUGCGUAGAUAUACGGAGGAACACCAGUGGCGAAGGCGGAUUGCUGGACAGUAACUGACGCUGAGGCGCGAAAGCGUGGGGAGCAAACAGG
rnacentral:rRNA from 1 species